AAUCCUAUGUGGCAUCCUGAUAAGAAGAGGAGAUGAUACAUGAGGAGUCACAGAGAAGAAGCCCAUAUAAUGGCGGAGGCCGAGAUUGGGGUGAUACAGCUGCAAGCCAGGGAAUGCCAAGGACUGCCAGGAGCCACAGAAGCUAGGAAGAGGCAAGGAAGGAUUCUUCGCUGGAGCCUAUUUCACUCAUGAGUGAUUACCUAUGUCCAUAUGUCUACUGCCUGUCCUAAAUUGAACAGUUUUGUCCACUUAAAACAAGCAAACUUCCACUGAUAGGUAAAUGUUCCAACUUUACUGUAGCUUGCAGCAGUGCCUCUGUUAAGUGGAAUUCUAUUUCUGCCACAGCAUCAAUAAGCUUUCCUGUGUAUGUCCCAUAUAAGGA
rnacentral:lncRNA from 1 species